rnacentral:rRNA from 1 species
UACGUAGGGACCAAGCGUUGUUCGGAUUUACUGGGCGUAAAGGGCGCGUAGGCGGCAAUUCAAGUCAUCUGUGAAAUCUCCGGGCUUAACUCGGAACGGUCAGGUGAUACUGCUUUGCUAGAGUGCAGAAGGGGCAACUGGAAUUCUCGGUGUAGCGGUGAAAUGCGUAGAUAUCGAGAGGAACACCUGCGGCGAAGGCGGGUUGCUGGGCUGACACUGACGCUGAUGUGCGAAAGCUAGGGGAGCGAACGGG